UACGUAGGGUGCAAGCGUUAAUCGGAAUUACUGGGCGUAAAGCGUGCGCAGGCGGUGAGCUGUGUCCGAUGUGAAAGCCCCGGGCUUAACCUGGGAAUGGCAUUGGAAACUGGCUCGCUGGAGUGUGGCAGAGGGGGGGUGGAAUUCCGCGUGUAGCAGUGAAAUGCGUAGAGAUGCGGAGGAACACCGAUGGCGAAGGCAGCCCCCCUGGGCUAACACUGACGCUCAGGCACGAAAGCGUGGGGAGCAAACAGG
rnacentral:rRNA from 1 species